rnacentral:rRNA from 1 species
CACUAUCGUUAACUGAAUACAUAGGUUAACGAGGCGAACCGGGGGAACUGAAACAUCUAAGUACCCCGAGGAAAAGAAAUCAACCGAGAUUCCCCCAGUAGCGGCGAGCGAACGGGGAGCAGCCCAGAGUCUGAAUCAGCUUGUGUGUUAGUGGAACGGUCUGGAAAGUCCGACGGUACAGGGUGAUAGUCCCGUACACCAAAAUGCACAGGCUGUGAACUCGAAGAGUAGGGCGGGACACGUGGUAUCCUGUCUGAAUAUGGGGGGACCAUCCUCCAAGGCUAAAUACUCCUGACUGACCGAUAGUGAACCAGUACCGUGAGGGAAAGGCGAAAAGAACCCCGGCGAGGGGAGUGAAAAAGAACCUGAAACCGUGUACGUACAAGCAGUGGGAGCACCUUCGGGUGUGACUGCGUACCUUUUGUAUAAUGGGUCAGCGACUUAUAUUCUGUAGCAAGGUUAACCGUAUAGGGGAGCCGCAGGGAAACCGAGUCUUAACUGGGCGUUAAGUUGCAGGGUAUAGACCCGAAACCCGGUGAUCUAGCCAUGGGCAGGUUGAAGGUUGGGUAACACUAACUGGAGGACCGAACCGACUAAUGUUGAAAAAUUAGCGGAUGACUUGUGGCUGGGGGUGAAAGGCCAAUCAAACCGGGAGAUAGCUGGUUCUCCCCGAAAGCUAUUUAGGUAGCGCCUCGUGAACUCAUCUUCGGGGGUAGAGCACUGUUUCGGCUAGGGGGUCAUCCCGACUUACCAACCCGAUGCAAACUACGAAUACCGAAGAAUGUUAUCACGGGAGACACACGGCGGGUGCUAACGUCCGUCGUGAAGAGGGAAACAACCCAGACCGCCAGCUAAGGUCCCAAAGUCAUGGUUAAGUGGGAAACGAUGUGGGAAGGCACAGACAGCCAGGAUGUUGGCUUAGAAGCAGCCAUCAUUUAAAGAAAGCGUAAUAGCUCACUGGUCGAGUCGGCCUGCGCGGAAGAUGUAACGGGGCUAAACCAUGCACCGAAGCUGCGGCAGCGACACUAUGUGUUGUUGGGUAGGGGAGCGUUCUGUAAGCCUGCGAAGGUGNNNNNNNNNNNNNNNNUGCUGGAGGUAUCAGAAGUGCGAAUGCUGACAUAAGUAACGAUAAAGCGGGUGAAAAGCCCGCUCGCCGGAAGACCAAGGGUUCCUGUCCAACGUUAAUCGGGGCAGGGUGAGUCGACCCCUAAGGCGAGGCCGAAAGGCGUAGUCGAUGGGAAACAGGUUAAUAUUCCUGUACUUGGUGUUACUGCGAAGGGGGGACGGAGAAGGCUAUGUUAGCCGGGCGACGGUUGUCCCGGUUUAAGCAUGUAGGCUGGUUGUCCAGGCAAAUCCGGAUAAUCAAGGCUGAGGUGUGAUGACGAGGCACUACGGUGCUGAAGUAACAAAUGCCCUGCUUCCAGGAAAAGCCUCUAAGCAUCAGGUAACAUCAAAUCGUACCCCAAACCGACACAGGUGGUCAGGUAGAGAAUACCAAGGCGCUUGAGAGAACUCGGGUGAAGGAACUAGGCAAAAUGGUGCCGUAACUUCGGGAGAAGGCACGCUGGUGUGUAGGUGAAGUCCCUGCGGAUGGAGCUGAGACCAGUCGAAGAUACCAGCUGGCUGCAACUGUUUAUUAAAAACACAGCACUGUGCAAACACGAAAGUGGACGUAUACGGUGUGACGCCUGCCCGGUGCCGGAAGGUUAAUUGAUGGGGUUAUCCGUAAGGAGAAGCUCUUGAUCGAAGCCCCGGUAAACGGCGGCCGUAACUAUAACGGUCCUAAGGUAGCGAAAUUCCUUGUCGGGUAAGUUCCGACCUGCACGAAUGGCGUAAUGAUGGCCAGGCUGUCUCCACCCGAGACUCAGUGAAAUUGAACUCGCUGUGAAGAUGCAGUGUACCCGCGGCAAGACGGAAAGACCCCGUGAACCUUUACUAUAGCUUGACACUGAACAUUGAGCCUUGAUGUGUAGGAUAGGUGGGAGGCUUUGAAGCGUGGACGCCAGUCUGCGUGGAGCCAACCUUGAAAUACCACCCUUUAAUGUUUGAUGUUCUAACGUUGGCCCCUUACCGGGGUUGCGGACAGUGUCUGGUGGGUAGUUUGACUGGGGCGGUCUCCUCCCAAAGCGUAACGGAGGAGCACGAAGGUUAGCUAAUCCUGGUCGGACAUCAGGAGGUUAGUGCAAUGGCAUAAGCUAGCUUGACUGCGAGCGUGACGGCGCGAGCAGGUGCGAAAGCAGGUCAUAGUGAUCCGGUGGUUCUGAAUGGAAGGGCCAUCGCUCAACGGAUAAAAGGUACUCCGGGGAUAACAGGCUGAUACCGCCCAAGAGUUCAUAUCGACGGCGGUGUUUGGCACCUCGAUGUCGGCUCAUCACAUCCUGGGGCUGAAGUAGGUCCCAAGGGUAUGGCUGUUCGCCAUUUAAAGUGGUACGCGAGCUGGGUUUAGAACGUCGUGAGACAGUUCGGUCCCUAUCUGCCGUGGGCGCUGGAGAAUUGAGGGGGGCUGCUCCUAGUACGAGAGGACCGGAGUGGACGCAUCACUGGUGUUCGGGUUGUCAUGCCAAUGGCACUGCCCGGUAGCUAAAUGCGGAAGAGAUAAGUGCUGAAAGCAUCUAAGCACGAAACUUGCCCCGAGAUGAGUUCUCCCUGAGACUUUAAGUCUCCUGAAGGAACGUUGAAGACGACGACGUUGAUAGGCCGGGUGUGUAAGCGCAGCGAUGCGUUGAGCUAACCGGUACUAAUGAACCGUGAGGCUUAACCUU